UACGUAGGGGGCAAGCGUUAUCCGGAUUUACUGGGUGUAAAGGGAGCGUAGACGGCUGUGCAAGCCAGAUGUGAAAGCCCGGGGCUCAACCCCGGGACUGCAUUUGGAACUGUGUGGCUGGAGUGUCGGAGAGGCAGGCGGAAUUCCUAGUGUAGCGGUGAAAUGCGUAGAUAUAUGGAAGAACACCAGUGGCGAAAGCGGCUCUCUGGUCUGUAACUGACGCUGAGGUUCGAAAGCGUGGGUAGCAAACAGG
rnacentral:rRNA from 1 species